rnacentral:lncRNA from 1 species
GCUCAAACUGCACGUCAACUGCUCACACCUUUGCCCGUGGUCUUUCCAUCUACCUGGGGCCUGCAUUGCUGUCUGGUGCGCUCCUGCCUGUCUCCCAGGUGACGCCUACAUCUCCUUCAAACAGAGGCCCCCUCAGCCUCGCAGCUCAGACCCAGGGCAGGCGCUUCUCCUUGUGUUCACAGUGACACUGGGGGUGCAAAGCAAACUUCCAAUGCAGGGCGUGUUCACGUGUCCCAUGUUUUCAUUCUAAAGAACAAAGCCAAGACCACUAAAACAACGGAAAUAACUGGUCCCACGAACAUCCUAUUAACUGUAGAACACACAUGAAAUAACGCACAUGCUCAUCUUGUAUCAGCUACAGACAAUGAGCAAUA